GAUGAAGAACGUAGCGAAAUGCGAUACGUAGUGUGAAUUGCAGAAUUCAGUGAAUCAUCGAAUCUUUGAACGCACAUUGCACCUCUCGGUAUUCCGGGAGGUAUGCCUGUUCGAGCGUCAUUUGUACCCUCAAGCUCUGCUUGGUGUUGGGUGUUUGUUCCGCCUCUGUGUGUGAACUCGCCUCAAAACAAUUGGCAGCCGGCGUACUUGUUUCGGAGCGCAGCACAUUUUGCGAUCCAGAUCAACGUACAGCGGCAUCCAAGAAGCCUUAUUUAACGCUCUUGACCUCGGAUCAGGUAGGGAUACCCGCUGAACUUAAGCAUAUCAUUAAGCGGAGGA
rnacentral:misc_RNA from 1 species